rnacentral:rRNA from 1 species
GAUGAACGCUGACAGAAUGCUUAAUACAUGCAAGUCAACUGUGGAGGACGGGUGAGUAACGCGUAAAGAACUUGCCUCACAGAUAGGGACAACAUUUGGAAACGAAUGCUAAUACCUGAUACUGUGAGAGAGCUUUGCGUCCCAUUAGCUAGUUGGAGAGGUAACGGCUCACCAAGGCGAUGAUGGGUAGCCGGCCUGAGAGGGUGCUCGGCCACAAGGGGAAUGAGACACCGCCCUGACUCCUACUGGGGGCAGCAGUGGAGACUAUUGGACAAUGGACCAGAAUCUGAUCCAGCAAUUCUGUGUGCACGAUGAAGUUUUCGGAAUGUAAAGUGCUUUCAGUUGAGAAGCAGUACCAACAGAAGAAGGGACGGCUAAAUACGUGCCAGCAGCCGCGGUAAUUC